CUCCCUUCCUCUUCUUGGGACCGAAUUUUGCCCCAUCUCUUUUGCUUCUCUCGGCUGAGUAACGAUGGCCCUAUUGCCGAUUUCUCCGGUCACCCUCUUCCUCUCUGGUGGUGUUUUAUCUCUUUCUCCGGUUAUAACUGCCGGUUACUUUCUAGUAACGGCCUCUCCCGCUCAUGAGCUCGUAGCUCUCAUUCUUGAGAUCGUAUGGGUCCCUUGUCGUGGGCUUCUCCUCCCCUCGCUCAACUAUAAAUACCCCCAAGGGGGAGAGAAAGAGGAGGACGCUUUUUUUCUUUUCUUGAGAUUUCGGAUGGAUUUCUGCUGGAAGCUUUCAUCUCGUGACUUCUUCUUACUCUUUUCAUUUCUUGAGCUAGUGAGAAAUCGAGGGCUUAUAUUACUAUUUUUAUCAACUAGGGACAUGGCAAAAGCUACCUCACUUGCACGUCAAACAAAAGGAGUUGGAGAUGGAUCUAUUAGGAUGCUCAAAUCACUUGUAGUUGCUGCAUUUGCAUUUCAAUUUAACAACAUAUUCAUGAUUGAUGCCAGCUUCUCUGCUUUGAUGCAGAUCAGUAAAUGUGCAAUUGACAAAUCCUAUAUGGGUAAUUAUCACACGCAUGCAGUUACAUCGCAAAUUUCUUGAGAGCAGUUUGCUUUGCACUUCUGGAUGGUCUUUUGUACUUCUUGUAUCUAUUAUUUUCCAGUCUCACAAGAAAAUCAGCAAAUCCUCAGUAAAUCUUGUUAUAGAAAUUGUUCCUGAUGAAGUGAUUCAAGAUGCUGUUGUUGCGCCCCCGCCUUAUGGAACUAAGGCUGUUGGACAGGGUAGAAGCUAACUCACUCGCUCGUCAAAUGAAAGGUGUUGGAGAUGGAUCUAUUGAGAUGCUCCAAUCACUUGCAGUUGCUGCAUUUGCAGAGUGAUUGAUGCUGACUUGAACUUUUUUAUUUAACUAAUUCUUCCAUUGGGCUUCUUACUUUUUAUAUUUCCAGGCAUUUCAAUUUUACAACAUAUUCAUGAAUGAUGCUAGCUUCUUUGCUUUGAUGCAGAUUAAUAAAUGUGCUACUGACAAAUCCUAUAUGGGUAAUUGUCACACGCAUGCAGUUAUUGGAAAUUUGAUAUCCAGGCUUCCUUUUUUUUGUUUCCUUUUAUCAUUUUGUAUCCAUACUCAGUUACAUCACAAACUUCAUGAGAGCAGUUUGCUCUGCACUUCUGAAUGGUUUUCUGUACUUGUUGUAUCUAUUAUUUUUCAGACUCACAAGAAAACAAGCGAAUCCUCAGCAAAUCUUGUUUUAGAAAUUGUUCCUGGUGAAGUGAUUCAAGAUGUUGUUGUUGACCCUCUACAUUAUGGAACUAUGGAAGCUAAAUUGUUCCUGGUGAAGUGAUUCAUGAUGUUGUUGUUGACCCUCUGCAUUAUGGAACUAUGGAAGCUAUACAAAUUUCUUUUUUUGCAUUUCAUUAGAUUAUUUCUAGAGGAUGCUCGGCAUACAUAUUUGAGGAUGCUCGGCAUUACAUAUUUGAAGGACCACGUUUCAGCCUUUUUAUUGUUAUGAUUCAAUAUCUUAAAUUUAAUAUUUAAGACGCAGAGUUUCUUCCUUGUAGAAAUUGUUCCUGGUGAAGUGAUUCAAGAUGUGUUGUUGACCCUCUGCAUUAUGGAACUAUGGAAGCUGUACGUAUUUAUUUUUUUGCAUUUCAUUAGAUUAUUUCUAAGGGAUGCUCGACAUUACAAAUAUGAA